GAUGAACGCUGGCGGCGUGCUUAACACAUGCAAGUCGAACGGGAAACCUUUUAUUGAAGCUUCGGCAGAUUUAGCUGGUUUCUAGUGGCGGACGGGUGAGUAACGCCUGGGUAACCUGCCCUAUACAGGGGGAUAACAACCAGAAAUGGUUGCUAAUACCGCAUAAGCGCACAGGGCCGCAUGGUCCGGUGUGAAAAACUCCGGUGGUAUAGGAUGGACCCGCGUUGGAUUAGCCAGUUGGCAGGGUAACGGCCUACCAAAGCGACGAUCCAUAGCCGGCAUGAGAGGGAGAACGGACACAUUUGGACUGAGACACGGCAGAGACUCCUACGGGAGGCAGGAGUGGGGAAUAGAGCACAAUGGGGGAAACCAUGAAGCAGCGACGCCGCGUGAAGGAAGAAGUAAGUCGGGAAGUAAAGUGCUAGCAGCAGGGAAGAUAGUGACGGUACCUGACUAGGAAGCCACGGCUAACUACGUG
rnacentral:rRNA from 1 species